rnacentral:rRNA from 1 species
GACGAACGCUGGCGGCGUGCUUAACACAUGCAAGUCGAACGGAAAGGCCCUGCUUUUGUGGGGUGCUCGAGUGGCGAACGGGUGAGUAACACGUGAGUAACCUGCCCUUGACUUUGGGAUAACUUCAGGAAACUGGGGCUAAUACCGGAUCGGAGCUCCUGCUGCAUGGUGGGGGUUGGAAAGUUUCGGCGGUUGGGGAUGGACUCGCGGCUUAUCAGCUUGUUGGUGGGGUAGUGGCUUACCAAGGCUUUGACGGGUAGCCGGCCUGAGAGGGUGACCGGCCACAUUGGGACUGAGAGACGGCCCAGACUCCUACGGGAGGCAGCAGUGGGGAAUAUUGCACAAGGGGCGGAAGCCGGAUGCAGCAACGCCGCGGGCGGGAUGACGGCCUUGGGGUUGUAAACCGCUUUCGCCUGUGACGAAGCGUGAGUGACGGUAAUGGGUAAAGAAGCACCGGCUAACUACGUGG